GCAGCAGCAGCACGGCAGCAACAUCACAUCCCAGCGGCAACACCAACACACAGGCAAGUGAUGUGGAGGCGCGACGAGUGCGCACGCAUACGCACACAGAGGCAGCACACACGGACACCACUUCAAUCCCCUUGACUGGAAGUCGCUGGUGUUGGUGGUGGCUAAGCAUGCAACUUUCCAGCCUUCUUUCCCGUUUACCAGUGCGCCAGUGUGCGUGUAUUAAUGAAUGAAACGCCAAUGCCACCGCGCCACCCCCUCCCCGAGCACCCCACCCACCUCAGUUUUCCCACACCCCUUGGUAUGCCUGUCCGUGUGUAUGUGCUCACGUUUUCCGCCGGAUCUGGAUGAUGUGGACGUGCUCGGCGACCGGUGGCGAAGGAACUGCGCUGCGCAUGCGUGCGGCAUGCCAAAAGGUAUUAGCCAGGUGGAUCGGCAUUUGGCCAGGUUCUCGAAACAGCAUCACUCAGUUUCAUGAAUAACUAUGUCAAUAGGUGUCCUUUUGCGAAAUGUACGUAUAUUACUGAUCCAAAUUAUAAUUGAUGUGUAUUCUAUUUAUUUUCUGAGCGGAUCCUUAACAAAAAGUUUCUAUAUAAUAACUUCUAAAACUCAAUUUACAUAUGAAUUGAAAUAUCGGAAUAGUUUUACAUGUGUAUAAGCAAUAAAAAUAUAAUUACUUCCGUGCACUUACCUGCAUUUUUAGAACUCAUUUAAGUUAACACAAUCAGCAGCUUAUAUAAUUCUAAGGAAAAAAAUAACAGCUUUAAAUGGUUAAACUUUGAAAAUUAAGUCAAAUAUAACAAAAUUUAGAUAUUAUGAAAACAAAGCAAUUGAUAUGUUAAAAAAUAAAAUUUAUUGAAUA